UAAGUAUGUGUUACAGUAUGGACCUCAUUAGGUUAAUCCUGUUUGAAACUCUGAACCUGGAUGUCUCAUUCCUUCCCCAGAUUGGAAAGUUAGGAACUGCUACUGAAGGACGGCCUUGUACCACAGAGACCAGGACAUACUGCCUUAGGAAGGAAUGGAAUCAGCACUGUAGAGGCAGUCUGGCUUCAGUGUCCACUUGCUUUUGAUGUUGGAAGAGUGGAGAUAAUGUGUUCGAGAAGGUCAACAGUUGGAUAUAGAAUAAAGAAGUAUUUGGGGGGAGUCACUCUUACCUCCUCUACUCUAAGGAAGACCGUGUUUUUAUUUUUUUAUCUCUUUGCUUGGAAACUGCAUGAAAUUUUGU